rnacentral:rRNA from 1 species
UUUAUGGAGAGUUUGAUCCUGGCUCAGGAUGAACGCUGGCGGCGUGCCUAAUACAUGCAAGUCGAGCGAACGGACGAGAAGCUUGCUUCUCUGAUGUUAGCGGCGGACGGGUGAGUAACACGUGGAUAACCUACCUAUAAGACUGGGAUAACUUCGGGAAACCGGAGCUAAUACCGGAUAAUAUUUUGAACCGCAUGGUUCAAAAGUGAAAGACGGUCUUGCUGUCACUUAUAGAUGGAUCCGCGCUGCAUUAGCUAGUUGGUAAGGUAACGGCUUACCAAGGCAACGAUGCAUAGCCGACCUGAGAGGGUGAUCGGCCACACUGGAACUGAGACACGGUCCAGACUCCUACGGGAGGCAGCAGUAGGGAAUCUUCCGCAAUGGGCGAAAGCCUGACGGAGCAACGCCGCGUGAGUGAUGAAGGUCUUCGGAUCGUAAAACUCUGUUAUUAGGGAAGAACAUAUGUGUAAGUAACUGUGCACAUCUUGACGGUACCUAAUCAGAAAGCCACGGCUAACUACGUGCCAGCAGCCGCGGUAAUACGUAGGUGGCAAGCGUUAUCCGGAAUUAUUGGGCGUAAAGCGCGCGUAGGCGGUUUUUUAA